GGCAGAGUGGCUCAGGUGGUAGAGCUCUUGCCUAGGGAGCAAGAGAUCCUGAGUUCAAACCCCAGUACUGCAA